rnacentral:rRNA from 1 species
UACGUAGGUGGCAAGCGUUGUCCGGAAUCAUUGGGCGUAAAGAGCGUGUGGGCGGCUCGAUAAGUCCGCUGUGAAAGUCCAGGGCUCAACCCUGGAAGGCCGGUGGAAACUGUCGGGCUAGAGUCCGGAAGAGGCGAGUGGAAUUCCCGGUGUAGCGGUGAAAUGCGCAGAUAUCAGGAGGAACACCGGUGGCGAAGGCGGGUCUCUGGGCCGAUACUGACGCUGGAGGAGCGAAAGCAUGGGUAGCGAACAGG